rnacentral:rRNA from 1 species
CAUACAUUCACCGGCGGACGGGUGCGUAACACGUGGGAAUAUACCUUUUGGUUCGGAACAACGCAGGGAAACUUGCGCUAAUACCGAAUGUGCCCUUACGGGGAAAGAUUUAUCGCCAAAGGAUUAGCCCGCGUCCGAUUAGCUAGUUGGUGAGGUAAUGGCUCACCAAGGCUCCGAUCGGUAGCUGUUCUGAGAGGAAGAUCAGCCACACUGGGACUGAGACACGGCCCAGACUCCUACGGGAGGCAGCAGUUGGGAAUCUUGGACAAUGGGGGAAACCCUGAUCCAGCCAUGCCGCGUGAGUGAUGAAGGCCUUCGGGUUGUAAAACUCUUUCGACGGGGACGAUAAUGACGGUACCCGUAGAAGAAGCUCCGGCUAACUUCGUGCCAGCAGCCGCGGUAAUACGAAGGGGGCUAGCGUUGUUCGGAAUUACUGGGCGUAAAGCGCGCGCAGGCGGUCUUCCAAGUCAGUGGUGAAAGCCCGGAGCUCAACUCCGGAACUGCCAUUGAAACUGUAAGACUUGAGGACGAGAGAGGUGAGUGGAAUUCCCAGUGUAGAGGUGAAAUUCGUAGAUAUUGGGAAGAACACCGGUGGCGAAGGCGGCUCACUGGCUCGUUUCUGACGCUCAGGCGCGACAGC